rnacentral:rRNA from 1 species
GAUGAACGCUGGCGGCGUGCCUAAUACAUGCGAGUCGAGCGAACGGACGAGAAGCUUGCUUCUCUGAUGUUAGCGGCGGACGGGUGAGUAACACGUGGAUAACCUACCUAUAAGACUGGGAUAACUUCGGGAAACCGGAGCUAAUACCGGAUAAUAUUUUGAACCGCAUGGUUCAAAAGUGAAAGACGGUCUUGCUGUCACUUAUAGAUGGAUCCGCGCUGCAUUAGCUAGUUGGUAAGGUAACGGCUUACCAAGGCAACGAUGCAUAGCCGACCUGAGAGGGUGAUCGGCCACACUGGAACUGAGACACGGUCCAGACUCCUACGGGAGGCAGCAGUAGGGAAUCUUCCGCAAUGGGCGAAAGCCUGACGGAGCAACGCCGCGUGAGUGAUGAAGGUCUUCGGAUCGUAAAACUCUGUUAUUAGGGAAGAACAUAUGUGUAAGUAACUGUGCACAUCUUGACGGUACCUAAGCAGAAAGCCACGGCUAACUACGU